rnacentral:lncRNA from 1 species
UGACAGGCCUCUCCAGAGGCCCAAACUUUAAUAGAAUCUGAGAGAAAAAAGUGGCCAGUCUAUCUGCUGUCCAGAGUGAUGCCAAACUCUUUCUCCCGGAGCCAGUUCUCCCCGUUGGGCAGUCAGGAAACAAUAAGUGAACAAGAAGUAACCUCAGAAGAAGAAAGAACUUUGGGAGAAUGCACUGAGAAAGGCCAGACUGAGUCCCCUUGGAUGAAGUUAAUUAAGAAACAAACAUGACAGGAUAUUGCAAUCAAAACCAAGGAAUGCAGUGAGGACAGGUUUCUCAGUUGCCCAGAGGAGAAAACAUAGUUCCUUCUGAACUAAAAUUAGAAAGCCGCUGGCAAGGAAACAUAAGAAGCAUGGAUAAGAGGCUGAAAACCGUAAGUCAGCAAUGGGGAUGGAGGUGGGUACAGGAAGAGAGCGAGUAUCUAUUUUGUUUUAUUUCUUCUGUAAUUCCUUAAGAUUGUUUGCGCCUGAGCUUUGGGACUGCAGUAGUCUCCCCUACGGGGCGUCAAGUAACAGGCUGGGAGCUCUGGCAAGAAGUUCUCAAACUUCUCACAAUUCUGCUAAGAGCUUGCAGAUAU